UACGGAGGGUGCAAGCGUUAUCCGGAUUCACUGGGUUUAAAGGGUGCGUAGGCGGGUUGGUAAGUCCGUGGUGAAAUCUCCAAGCUUAACUUGGAAACUGCCGUGGAUACUAUCAAUCUUGAAUAUAGUGGAGGUGAGCGGAAUAUGUCAUGUAGCGGUGAAAUGCUUAGAUAUGACAUAGAACACCAAUUGCGAAGGCAGCUCACUACGGAUUGAUUGACACUGAGGCACGAAAGCGUGGGGAUCAAACAGG
rnacentral:rRNA from 1 species